AGAGUUUGAUCCUGGCUCAGGACGAACGCUGGCGGCGUGCUUAACACAUGCAAGUCGAGCGGAAAGGCCCUUUCGGGGGUACUCGAGCGGCGAACGGGUGAGUAACACGUGAGUAACCUGCCCUGGACUUUGGGAUAACCCUCGGAAACGGGGGCUAAUACCGGAUAUGACAUGCGCUCGCAUGGGUGUGUGUGGAAAGUUUUUUCGGUCUGGGAUGGGCUCGCGGCCUAUCAGCUUGUUGGUGGGGUGAUGGCCUACCAAGGCGACGACGGGUAGCCGGCCUGAGAGGGCGACCGGCCACACUGGGACUGAGACACGGCCCAGACUCCUACGGGAGGCAGCAGUGGGGAAUAUUGCACAAUGGGCGGAAGCCUGAUGCAGCGACGCCGCGUGAGGGAUGACGGCCUUCGGGUUGUAAACCUCUUUCAGCAGGGACGAAGCGUGAGUGACGGUACCUGCAGAAGAAGCGCCGGCCAACUACGUGCCAGCAGCCGCGGUAAGACGUAGGGCGCGAGCGUUGUCCGGAUUUAUUGGGCGUAAAGAGCUCGUAGGCGGCUUGUCGCGUCGACUGUGAAAACCCGCGGCUCAACUGCGGGCCUGCAGCCGAUACGGGCAGGCUAGAGUUCGGUAGGGGAGACUGGAAUUCCUGGUGUAGCGGUGAAAUGCGCAGAUAUCAGGAGGAACACCGGUGGCGAAGGCGGGUCUCUGGGCCGAUACUGACGCUGAGGAGCGAAAGCGUGGGGAGCGAACAGGAUUAGAUACCCUAGUAGUCC
rnacentral:rRNA from 1 species